rnacentral:rRNA from 1 species
UACGUAGGGUGCAAGCGUUGUCCGGAAUUAUUGGGCGUAAAGAGCUCGUAGGCGGUUUGCCGCGUCUGCUGUGAAAAUCCAGGGCUUAACCCUGGACCUGCAGUGGGUACGGGCAGACUAGAGUGCGGUAGGGGAGAUCGGAAUUCCUGGUGUAGCGGUGAAAUGCGCAGAUAUCAGGAGGAACACCGGUGGCGAAGGCGGAUCUCUGGGCCGUAACUGACGCUGAGGAGCGAAAGCAUGGGGAGCGAACAGG